rnacentral:rRNA from 1 species
GCAACUCGACUGCAUGAAGCUGGAAUCGCUAGUAAUCGCGAAUCAGCAUGUCGCGGUGAAUACGUUCCCGGGUCUUGUACACACCGCCCGUCACACCAUGGGAGUCGGAAAUGCCCGAAGUCAGUGACCCAACCGUAAGGAGGGAGCUGCCGAAGGUGGAGCCGGUAACUGGGGGUGAAGUCGUAACAAGGUAGC